CCUACGGGUGGCAGCAGUCGAGAAUCAUUCACAAUGGGGGAAACCCUGAUGGUGCGACGCCGCGUGGGGGAAUGAAGGUCUUCGGAUUGUAAACCCCUGUCAUGUGGGAGGAAAUUAAAAAGAUAGUACCACAAGAGGAAGAGACGGCUAACUCUGUGCCAGCAGCCGCGGGAAUACAGAGGUCUCAAGCGGUGUUCGGAAUCACUGGGCGUAAAGCGUGCGUAGGCUGUUUCGUAAGUCGUGUGUGAAAGGCGCGGGCUCAACCCGCGGACGGCACAUGAUACUGCGAGACUAGAGUAAUGGAGGGGGAACCGGAAUUCUCGGUGUAGCAGUGAAAUGCGUAGAUAUCGAGAGGAACACUCGUGGCGAAGGCGGGUUCCUGGACAUUAACUGACGCUGAGGCACGAAGGCCAGGGGAGCGAAAGGGAUUAGAUACCCGUGUAGUC
rnacentral:rRNA from 1 species